UACGUAGGGUGCAAGCGUUAUCCGGAAUUAUUGGGCGUAAAGAGCUCGUAGGCGGUUUGUCGCGUCUGCUGUGAAAACCCGAGGCUCAACCUCGGGCCUGCAGUGGGUACGGGCGGACUAGAGUGCGGUAGGGGAGAUUGGAAUUCCUGGUGUAGCGGUGGAAUGCGCAGAUAUCAGGAGGAACACCGAUGGCGAAGGCAGAUCUCUGGGCCGUAACUGACGCUGAGGAGCGAAAGCGUGGGGAGCGAACAGG
rnacentral:rRNA from 1 species